rnacentral:rRNA from 1 species
CUGUGACAUACCACUUGUUGCCUCGGCGGAUCAGCCCGCUCCCGGUAAAACGGGACGGCCCGCCAGAGGACCCCUAAACUCUGUUUCUAUAUGUAACUUCUGAGUAAAACCAUAAAUAAAUCAAAACUUUCAACAACGGAUCUCUUGGUUCUGGCAUCGAUGAAGAACGCAGCAAAAUGCGAUAAGUAAUGUGAAUUGCAGAAUUCAGUGAAUCAUCGAAUCUUUGAACGCACAUUGCGCCCGCCAGUAUUCUGGCGGGCAUGCCUGUUCGAGCGUCAUUUCAACCCUCAAGCACAGCUUGGUGUUGGGACUCGCGUUAAUUCGCGUUCCUCAAAUUGAUUGGCGGUCACGUCGAGCUUCCAUAGCGUAGUAGUAAAACCCUCGUUACUGGUAAUCGUCGCGGCCACGCCGUUAAACCCCAACUUCUGAAUGUUGACCUCGGAUCAGGUAGGAAUACCCGCUGAACUUAAGCAUA